rnacentral:rRNA from 1 species
UACGUAGGGGGCUAGCGUUGUCCGGAAUCAUUGGGCGUAAAGCGCGUGUAGGCGGUCCGGUAAGUCCGCUGUGAAAGUCGGGGGCUCAACCCUCGAAUGCCGGUGGAUACUGUCGGGCUAGAGUACGGAAGAGGCGAGUGGAAUUCCUGGUGUAGCGGUGAAAUGCGCAGAUAUCAGGAGGAACACCAAUUGCGAAGGCAGCUCGCUGGGACGUUACUGACGCUGGAGACGCGAAAGCGUGGGGAGCAAACAGG